UCAGGUUUUCAGGCAUACCCGGUCUUUUCUCUUUCAGUUGCUGCUCCGGGGAAAGAAGUUUCAUUGGAGAAGGUGGUAUCUUCUAGUUGAUCACUUAAGCUUUUAGCUUAAAGGACUUAUCUUUGCUUGAACUUAGCCCGAGUAAGGCCGACUUAAAUAAAGAUAACUAGGUGCCAAGCCUUUAUAUAAAACCAUUUCUUUAUUCUAGUGCUUCGCUUGAUGGAAGCACUAGGGGAACGUCUUCUUAGUCUCACUCCCCUCUCGUCGCUGGUAACUAUCUCCUCUGGUCAGACACAAACGAAGGAAAGCACGCAAUCGAAAGCAAUAGGAAAGGCAGGCAACAGGAACAGAAAGAAGCAAUCGGUAUAAUAGGAUAUCCAGCAGGAAAGCCAGAA
rnacentral:lncRNA from 1 species